rnacentral:rRNA from 1 species
CCUACGGGAGGCAGCAGUGAGGAAUAUUGGUCAAUGGGCGGAAGCCUGAACCAGCCAAGUCGCGUGCAGGAUGACGGCCCUACGGGUUGUAAACUGCUUUUAUACGGGAAUAACGCGCCUUACGUGUAGGGCUUUGCAUGUACCGUAUGUAUAAGGACCGGCUAAUUCCGUUCCAUCAGCCGCGGUAAUACGGUAGGUCCGGGCGUUGUCCGGAUUUAUUGGGUUUAAAGGGAGCGUAGGCCGGAUGUUAAGCUUGCUGUGAAAUGUCCGGGCUCAACCCGGGCCGUGCAGCGGGUACUGGCGGGCUUGAGUGCGCGGAAAGCAGGCGGAAUUCGGGGUGUAGCGGUGAAAUGCUUAGAUAUGACGAAGAACCCCGAUGGCGAAGGCAGCUUGCUGCAGCGGAACUGACGCUGAUGCUCGAAAGCGCGGGUAUCGAACAGGAUUAGAUACCCUUGUAGUC